ACGAACGCUGGCGGCGUGCUUAACACCUGCAAGUCGCACGGAAAGGCCCUGCUUUUGUGGGGUGCUCGAGUGGCGAACGGGUGAGUAACACGUGAGUAACCUGCCCUUGACUUUGGGAUAACUUCAGGAAACUGGGGCUAAUACCGGAUAGGAGCUCCUGCUGCAUGGUGGGGGUUGGAAAGUUUCGGCGGUUGGGGAUGGACUCGCGGCUUAUCAGCUUGUUGGUGGGGUAGUGGCUUACCAAGGCUUUGACGGGUAGCCGGCCUGAGAGGGUGACCGGCCACAUUGGGACUGAGAUACGGCCCAGACUCCUACGGGAGGCAGCAGUGGGGAAUGUUGCACAAUGGGCGGAAGCCUGAUGCAGCAACGCCGCGUGCGGGAUGACGGCCUUCGGGUUGUAAACCGCUUUCGCCUGUGACGAAGCGUGAGUGACGGUAAUGGGUAAAGAAGCACCGGCUAACUACGUG
rnacentral:rRNA from 1 species